AGCGGACCAAAAUUGUCGUUAGCAGCGCUGGGAGAAAAAAAUCUCUCAGCUUCUUGUCAUUUUUGCUAGAUAUCUGGCCUUCCAGAAUCACAACAGCACACGGACCUUUGCCCCAUUGAAGCGUGUGCAUAAUUUUCGUGAUGUUGUCAGACCGCUUUGAUGAAUAGCCUAUAGAUCAAAUCAAGGAACGAUGUGACAACAUUGCCCCCACGGAUGCGGAAGGAACCCCGGAGGAGCCGUUCCUUUUGUGGCGAAAGACGACAUUGAAACUCUGCUACUGUACCUUCCAUCUCCGUUGUGUGCGAAUUUACCUUUAGGCCACUGAAUCUUAGGAAUAUGAUCUUACAAAUGGUAAUAAUGACAAUUUGUAUUUUUAUUUAAUUUAAAUGAGUAGCAUUUAUGUAACAUGUUUUUAAAAGUCAAUUAUAGCAAGCCUAAUCCAAUCAUAAAGCGAAGAGAGAAAUAAUUGUCUCCUCAAGGGCUUUUUGCUAGUUAACAAUAGAAUGAAUACAACAACCUACGGACAUAAUUUAUUGUUUGACAUUUUUUAAAAUACUUUUUUUAUGAUUAUACACAGAUACUUGAGCUGUGGAACAGAUCCUUGAGCUGUGUAAACAGAAAGCAAUAGUCCAACUCUUGACAAUUCUUUAAAAAAAAAGGUCAAAGAGAUUUUUGUUCAGAAAACCUUUAAUUGUAAUUAGAAUUACUUAUAAUGACAUAUUUCAAUAAAUAUUUAGUUAUAUACAGUUACAGCAGAAAUUGUACAUUCCUUUUUUUUUCUUUCAAAUUGCUAACAUUUUUGUACAAGCCAAAAAUAUCUGCCAUUGUGUUUAUAUUCAUGCAAAAUAUUCAGUGUUUUCACAUUUUAAUCAAAUAAAAAAAAAGGAUUUGCUGAACUUUUUUCCUUCUUCUGAAGUGCACUCUUGGAUUAUUAUCAUAACUGUAAUUAGCAAAUCAAGAUGUGCACUUUGUGCCAAUACACAAUAUUUAAGCAAGUAAAACUAAAUUAAGGCCAUUCCAACUUGUGUGCUAAAAAUGAAUAAAAAGACAUAAAUAGAAAUGUUUCUAUUUUUG
ensembl:lncRNA